rnacentral:lncRNA from 1 species
AAGGGUCUGGACUUAACUACACUGAUUUCUCACUGCAUCCUUCUACAGCCACCCCUCACUACUCCAGGACUUCAUAGUUCUCUCCUGCUAGUUGUUCGAUUCUUUCCCUCUUGAGCACUCUCAUCAUCCUCCAUUUAGUCUCUCCCUUUUGACAAUCCUCAGAAUAGAGUCUCGUUCUUAUUCCCGAGCGAGAGAUCUCCCAACAGCUCCCCAAUUUACCUGACAGCAAUCUGACCUCUCAGGACACUCAAGAUUCACCCCUCUAGCCAGAGGCAACCGGAAACGGAAGUUGUCACCUCGAGUUACUUACGGCAGGAAACCAGAGGAUAAAUUAAACAUUCUUGCCCUGGGUCACUGAUUCCUGGACCAGUGGAGGUGACAUGAAGCAGGCCUGAAGUGGACAUUUCCCCCGCAUAUCUGUGUAUCUGUAGUUUGUCCGAGGUAAGGGAAACUGUGGAGGACAGAGGGUGGGGAAGACGCGACGUCGUCCUUGCUAGGAGGCCGGAAUCUUUAGACGCUGCACAGGGGGAGGGCCGCAGGCAUUCUGCUACCAAUCAGCGGCACCGUUGUUGGAGCGUGGAAUCACCUAAUGAGAGGGCGGGUUGUUGCGCUGCAGUUGGCAGGCUGCUGCGGGAGGCGGUGGCGGUAAGAAGCCGGAGGCAGCGGGGUGACAGGGAAGUGGAGACGCUCAAAAAUCUAUAGCAGAAGAGUUGGAAAAUAUUUAAGUCUCAACAAAUGAAUUCCAUACUUGAACUCUGCUGCAUUCCUGUGCCACCUCCUCCAUUAGAACACUGAUCUUACAACAGAGGUAAAAUCAUAGAAUUUAACUUUUUAAAGGAUAAAGAAUGAAGUUCCCAUAGUUAGACAUGUU